AGUGUAUAUCUAUUUUGCUGAGUUUAAAAAGCUCGUAGUUGGAUCUGCGUGUUCAGCGUCCGGUGCGGUCUCUGGCCGCCACUGGAACGCGACACAUCGAAUGCCGGUGUGCCGUCGAUGCUCUUCAUCGGGUGUCGGCGGUGGCUGGCGAGUUUACUUUGAACAAAUUAGAGUGCUCAACGCAGGCGUUUCGCUUGUAUAUUUCUGCAUGGAAUAAUAGAAUAGGACCUCGGUUCUAUUUUGUUGGUUUUCGGAAGUGAGGUAAUGAUUAAGAGGGACUGACGGGGGCAUUCGUACUGCGACGUGAGAGGUGAAAUUCUUGGAUCGUCGCAAGACGCACUACUG
rnacentral:rRNA from 1 species